rnacentral:rRNA from 1 species
UAGGGAAUCUUCGGCAAUGGGGGGAACCCUGACCGAGCAACGCCGCGUGAGUGAAGAAGGUUUUCGGAUCGUAAAGCUCUGUUGUUAAGGAAGAACGAGUGUGAGAAUGGAAAGUUCAUACUGUGACGGUACUUAACCAGAAAGGGACGGCUAACUACGUGCCAGCAGCCGCGGUAAUACGUAGGUCCCGAGCGUUGUCCGGAUUUAUUGGGCGUAAAGCGAGCGCAGGCGGUUAGAUAAGUCUGAAGUUAAAGGCAGUGGCUCAACCAUUGUAGGCUUUGGAAACUGUUUAACUUGAGUGCAGAAGGGGAGAGUGGAAUUCCAUGUGUAACGGUGAAAUGCGUAGAUAUAUGGGGGAACACCGGUGGCGAAAGCGGCUCUCUGGUCAGUAACUGACGCUGAGGCUCGAAAGCGUGGGGAGCGAACAGG